rnacentral:rRNA from 1 species
AUUGAACGCUGGCGGCAGGCCUAACACAUGCAAGUCGAGCGGAUGAAGGGAGCUUGCUCCUGGAUUCAGCGGCGGACGGGUGAGUAAUGCCUAGGAAUCUGCCUGGUAGUGGGGGAUAACGUCCGGAAACGGGCGCUAAUACCGCAUACGUCCUGAGGGAGAAAGUGGGGGAUCUUCGGACCUCACGCUAUCAGAUGAGCCUAGGUCGGAUUAGCUAGUUGGUGGGGUAAAGGCCUACCAAGGCGACGAUCCGUAACUGGUCUGAGAGGAUGAUCAGUCACACUGGAACUGAGACACGGUCCAGACUCCUACGGGAGGCAGCAGUGGGGAAUAUUGGACAAGGGGCGAAAGCCUGAUCCAGCCAUGCCGCGUGUGUGAAGAAGGUCUUCGGAUUGUAAAGCACUUUAAGUUGGGAGGAAGGGCAGUAAGUUAAUACCUUGCUGUUUUGACGUUACCAACAGAAUAAGCACCGGCGAACUUCGU